UAUUUAACUGACGGCUAGCGAAAGGACUAAAGCUUAGCCAUGUCUGAUUAACUUAUAAAAGUGCUAUAGCGACGAAUAACCGGGAAACCGGGGAAGUGAGACGACGUAAACCCUGCAAGCGGGCAACCCAAACUUUUUGGUAGGGGCGGUCAAUUUGGCUAAAUGAAGUAAAAAUUGACACCGGUUUUAUCCGGUAGAUAGAUGAUCGUCGAAGAACGUGAUCGCCAAUCUCGUUUGGAACAUAACAUGGCCUAUAGAU
rnacentral:RNase_P_RNA from 1 species